rnacentral:rRNA from 1 species
UACGGAGGGUGCAAGCGUUGUCCGGAUUCAUUGGGCGUAAAGAGCGUGUAGGCGGUCCGGUCAGUCGGUUGUGAAAGUCAAGGGCUCAACCCUUGAAUGCCGGCCGAUACUGCCGGGCUAGAGUCCGGAAGAGGUGAGUGGAAUUCCUGGUGUAGCGGUGAAAUGCGCAGAUAUCAGGAGGAACACCGAUGGCGAAGGCAGCUCGCUGGGACGGUACUGACGCUGAGACACGAAAGCCAGGGGAGCAAACGGG